AGAAUUCUAACUGCUCUGAAUUAGCCACAUCAUCCAAAACAAUAAGAACCCUUUUGGAGCGGAGCCUUGCUUUCAUAGAAGAGAACCCUGUGCUGGAACUGGACGCACCUAAUAGCUGGGAAAAAAGCUUCCUAUACAAAUAAAGUAAGCCAUAUUUUUCCGAAUCUUCUCUAACAUUUUCAAGAAAACAGCAACCUUCAAAUUGGCCAGAGAAGUGAUCAAAAACAGCUCUGGCAAGGAUCGUCUUCCCUAUUCCCCCCAUGCCCCAGAUUCCUAUAGUGAGAACAUCGUCCCCAUUUAUGGCCAGCUCGGUGUCCUUUGAGGAUCUGCAAAUCAUUCUAUUCGAAAUAUGUCCAACGAUUUCCUUGAUAAGCAUGGGCUCAGGCCUGCCACAUUUGAAGUGCAUGCAAACAUAUGAUAAUUAAUUAAUUAAUAAGGAAAAAAGGGAAAAAAUAAAUAAAGGGAGAAAAAGCCUUCAGAUCAAAUAUACACAAGUACCCACAUGACUUGAAACUGAAAGCCAUGAUUUUAUAUGUCAACUAACCAAAUGCUUGUUGUAAAGGAAACUAUGAAUCCAUUGGAUAGUGAUUUUAGGAAGCAUUUUUAACUUCACUAACACUAAAUUUUUUAUCAAAAAAGAAUUAUUUUCAAGUGUUAAAAAAAAUCAGAAAUACUUCUUAAAAUUAUUACUAAACAAACUCUAUUGAUGGUUGCUUUUAGCCUCUCCCAUCAUACCAAGGAUUCUAUUAUAAGAAAAACAGUUUUAUUUAGUAUGGCUGUUCAUAUUGCCAUUGAUAAUAACAAUAAUAAAGCCAAGAACACAGUAAUACCAAAUAGAAAUUUGAGAUAUUUUGUAGAACUUUGACUGACUUAAUGGUUCAAAAAGUGAAAUCAAAAAGAGAAUAUUGAAAAGGAAUUUUGACCCACCUUUGUUUCUCUUGCUAUGUUUGAAUUCCCCCAUUUUAGGAAGUUGUUAAAUACCUUCUCGACAAAUUCAGAAAAAUUGUAACCCCACCAAAAUCAUUUCACAAAUCACAUUAAUUCUUCUUACCUUUGAUCCCUCCAUGAAUUAAUUAUCAAAGUAAACCCCCAACAAACAAAAUUUCUAAAGAAUAAAACCAUAAGAUUGAGAAGAUUUAGCUUUAGCAUUACUGAGUAUAGAAAGGUUACUUAUUCCUGGAAUCCCAGCCGGAUAAACUGGCAACUUCAGUGAGAGCCUCCUUCCAAAUCUGCACUUUCUCCAUCUCCUUCGACUUCUGUGCAUGUUUAGUUAAGGCUUUUCCGAAACUCCCUUUCUGUUCUCGUACAUCAGAAGGAUCCACAUUGUAGAAGAUGGGUAAAACUGUUUGUUCCAUGGUGUUUUUGCACUGGAGGAUCUUCACAAGCUCCUCCAAGCACCAUGUGGAAGAAGCAUAGUUUUUAGAGAAGACAACAAUGGAAAACAUGGACUUUUCAAUUGCUGUAACAAGUGCUGGCGAUAUUUUCUCGCCUUUGGCAACUUCAUUGGCGUCCAUGAAAGUCUCGAUCCCAUAGUUGCACAGUGCUUCAUAGAGGUGGGCAGUGAAGCCAUUGCGGGUGUCUUUUCCCCUAAAAUUCAAGAAAACAUCGUAGCGCCACUGACAAGAAGAUGCAGCAGCCAUUGCCGGAUCAUGUGCAGAGAGUAGAGACAUGAAAUAGUCGGAGCUCUUAGCAAAUCAACCUGCGAAAGAAAAAGGGUACAAUUGUAAUAAUUCCAAAGACGGAAUUAUAAUGAAAACCGUGAGAGAGGUUGAAGAAGUUAUCUUCGAGUUAGAUCAUGGAAAAGAGAAGAAUUCCUCAAUUUCAUUUCUAGAAGUCUUGGCAAAGGGUUUGCUCUCAAAAGAAAGAAUAGCAGUGGAAGUAUCAGGAAAGACUUGGGAUCCAUUUCAAAGGAAAAAGAAACGAGUAGACAACACGGCAAAACGACCAAGCGCAAGGCCCAAAGAAGUGGAAACCGCGUCCAAUGGUCCGAUAAUUCCAAGAAAAAAGAGAGAAGUGGGCCAUUUACGUCACUUGGGCUAUAAUAAAGAAAAACACAUCAAGGUCCUGUCGUUUUAGAAGGCAAAGUUGUUAGGAAUCACCAAUACAACUUAAAUGUACGUAAUAUGCUUUUUGUGAAUUUGGACUGAGUACUAUAAUAUUGUUGAGAUGGAAUUUAUGUUAACCUACGUAAUCUAUUUCUACUUAAUAAAUAAGUUGUUUUUUAUUCAACCUCUAUGACAAAUUUUUGACCCAAAUCGACCAUUUUAUUAAUCAUGUUGAUUAAAUUUGUUAUAACUAUAACUUAAUCCAUAUUUUGAUCAUUUAAAAUUUGAUUUUGAAUAAAUAAGUUAAUUAAAUCAUAAUUAUGUCAAAUUAGAAAGUUAAUACUUAUAUAAGACUUAACUUGAUCAAAUUAUCAAAUUGGAUCUUAUUAUUAAAUGAAUUUAAUGAGUAAAAUUAAUUAUGUGAUAUUUAGGUUUAUAUUUUUAAUCUGACCUAUUUAAUCAAGUGUCUGACAAGACGCAAACACAACCCAUUAAUAUGAAUUGUCACCCCGGUUAAUCUCCAAUAAUCUAAAUUAAUAAAUUUGAUGUUCUUAUGUUUCGAUAUUGAUUGAAUCAAUGAAUUCUUUAUGAUUCUGUAACUUUUUUGAUGUAAUGAGUGUAUAAGUAGGAAAACAUUUAUAAAUUCAUCAAUCAAUGCUACGUAAAUGAGAAAAUUAAGAAAAAAAAAAAUUAAAGGUUUAAGAAAUGUUGGAUAAAUAACAGACAAACAAAGAAUGAUAUUAUAGCAGGUCAAAUUAUCAAUUUAGAGUAAUUUUGAACUUUCAUGCUAUGGAAAUGGCCCCAGAAGAAGAAAAGUUUGGAUUUUGAGGUGAUUAUCUUAUUUCUUGUGGGUGGGCAUGGCAGGGAAAUAAGGGGUUGUGGGGUUGGGGGGGGGGGCUCUUAUGCUCUGCAAUAUGUGGGAUAUAUAAAUUGGGAAUUACCUCAUGAUUAAAAUGACAUUACUUAUAAAAAUCAGAGUUUUCUUUCUUGCUUUUUACUACCACAAGACUAAGCUUGGAACUUGAUGGAAAAAAAAUCACCUAAAUUCAGGAUCAGGGGUAUCUGGAAAUCUUCCUGUCAUCAAUAUAUGGUCCACUAUUCUUCCAAGUCCAUGUCUAAGAACUGAUCGAUAACCAGCUCUGAAUCCAUCUCCAUAUACUGAAGUAUCCGAUUCAAUCAUGUAUUUCAAGAACUCGCCAAACUUCCUCUCAAACUUAGAUCUCGUGCCCUGUCUUGAUGGAGAUGGAAGUGUCAUGGAUGAUGAGGUUGAUGCAAUAUCACUGCCAUAUCUCGACAUGAGCUCGGUGUUCAACCACAUGUAAGCUAGCACCUGACAGAUACCUCCUUCAGCAUGCUGAGUAAGAGAUCGGCGGCCUUGAAGCUGCAGCCAUACACGCAUCAUCAGGUGAGCUAGGAUUGCCCCAGUCAGCAACCUAGGAAGGCCAUGUAAAAUGCGAAAUGUGGUUAAUUUGAAACCAGGUACCCCUUUGUAGGGCUCCUUGAUCAUGUCUACGAGAGUACUGCUCUUUUCUCUCCCUGUGGAUUCACUUGGUGACUGUCUCUCAACCAAGAGUAAUGGAACUUGCUGCCCCACUACGAUAUUUAAGCUUUCACAGAACCUUUGCACAUUAAGAUACAGGGGCUGGUAUUCAUGAGUGUCCAUGAUUGCAUGGUCUAGAUGAUAAAAUAAACUGAGCAAAAGUAUAACCAGAACAGAGAAACAAUUCCACACUUUAUUUGUACCGAGACAACCAAUAAAUAGGCAAUACAAUCAACUGGCUUGACAAAGCCAUAACAACAAAGGCAUAAAAAUAGGACCAUGAAACCAUGUUUCAAUAAAUCUACUACCACCAUCACCAAAAAUCAGGAGAUAAUAAAGAGACUCAAUAAACAAUUUCCUAUAGACAGGGCAACAUAACAGAUAUAAGACUCAACAUAAAACAAUUUAUUAAAGACUUGGUCAAAUGACCCAUUGCACGAAGAUAUUUUAUCACCAGACACUCCAGGCAGAGCUUGCGUCCAUCUUUAAGAGUUGUAUAUCUUGUGUCCCAUGGCUCCUUUCGCUCACAGCUAAAGCAGGAAGGAGUUCCAUCAUGCUUAUGAGAAGGACAGUACUUCUGGACCCAGAAAGGAUGUUCCCUAUCUUCCAUAAGACAAGCAGGGUUUGCCCAAAAGAAAUGCCCACAAACAUCGCAUUUUUGGCGACACUUUUCCUUGUAGCAAGAUUUAUGAUAAGGUGACUCUCCAGAGAGAAAGAAUUCAUAGUCAGAGAUUGGGUGCUUACAAGCAUGGCAUCUAAAACAUUCUGGAUGCCAAACUUUGCCUAUGCACUUCAGAUAUCGCCUCAGAAUAAUCUCGGUACCGCAACCAGCACAGAUCUUGAACCCGGUCAAAACAGGGAAUGGAAUGGCUUGAUAGAUACUUUCAUUUCCAAAAGGAGGUGGAUAAGUAUAAAUAAGGUCUUCCUGUAUGGAUCUGGAAAGUUGUUCAUUUUCCUCUGACUGAGACUCAUUAUCCAUUAAUUCACUUCUCCAUUUAAGUUUGCUCUUCCUGGAUAGCAAAGAACCGACAUUAAUAUAUUCUAUAACAUGGCUGGAGAGCUUCAUGAAAACUUCUUUGUGAUGAUGUUGUUGAAAGAGCCUGAUAGCAUUUUUCAGACUCAGUUUCUCAGCUUCUCGUAUUUCAUUCACUCCAAACGUAAUUAACAGAUGUUUUCCUCUAGUGGUUAUAAUUAUUCUACUUCCAGGACCAAACUGAGGAUUCUUUCCAGCUAAGAAUUCUAACUGCUCUAAAUUAGCCACAUCAUCCAAAACAAUAAGAACCCUUCUGGAGCGGAGCCUUGCUUUCAUAGAAGAGAACCCUGUGCUGGAACUGGACGCACCUAAUAGCUGGUAAAAAAGCUUCCUAUACAAAUAAGGUAAGCCAUAUUUUUCCGAAUCUUCUCUAACAUUUUCAAGAAAACAGCAACCAUCAAAUUGGCCAGAGAAGUGAUCAAAAACAGCUCUGGCAAGGGUCGUCUUCCCUAUUCCCCCCAUGCCCC
rnacentral:lncRNA from 1 species